rnacentral:rRNA from 1 species
AUUGAACGCUGGCGGCAGGCCUAACACAUGCAAGUCGAGCGAGCGGCGGACGGGUGUGUAAUGUCUGGGAAUCUGCCUGAUGGAGGGGGAUAACUACUGGAAACGGUAGCUAAUACCGCAUACUCUCAGAUGACCCCAGAUGGGUUUAGCUAGUAGGUGGGGUAAUGGCUCACCUAGGCGACGAUCCCUAGCUGGUCUGAGAGGAUGAACAGCCACACUGGGACGGAGACACGGUCCAGACUCCUACGGGAGGCAGCAGUGGGGAAUAUUGCACAAUGGGCGCAAGCCUGAUGCAGCCAUGCCGCGUGUAUGAAGAAGGCCUUAGGGUUGUAAAGCACUUUCAGCGGGGAGGCGUUACCCGCAGAAGAAGCACCGGCUAACUCCGUGCCAGCAGCCGCGGUAAUAC